CAGUGAGCCAGACGUGUGUUAAUUUGUUCUGUGUGUUUUGUAAGUUUUUUGGACAGAAGUUCUUAUUUUCAGACGUAGUGAAAUAGUGGGAGGAAAGAGGAAUCUUCAAAGUCUAUUUACAGAUUUUGGACUGCUGACGAGGGACGAAAUAUCGGAAGGAGACUUCAGAGACUUCAUCCAAGGUUGUAAUUAUCGACUCAGUGUUAAGCGUACUCGGAAGCCUGAACAUAAGUUCAGUCGUGAACACCGUCGUCGGCUGUACAAACUAGAAGAAGCAGCGCGUCGUGAACGUGUACUUUCUCAUGUACAUGGAUAUUUAACCGUUUCUAAUUCAAUAGCUCAGGAUCCAUCUACUUCCACAGCUUCUAUAGCUGACUCAUCGCGUCAAGAUGUCGAUAUGGAUGAAAACGCAGUGAAUAAACUGCAUAUUCGUCCACGCGCACAAAACCCGCCAGAAAAUUUGAACGCCGAACACGCGCCAAAUCCCUUGAACGAUUUGAAUUUCCCGGACGCGCCGGAUGCGCCGAAUGAUACUCCAGACGCGCCGAAUGUUUUGAAUGUUCUCAACGCGCUGAACGAUCCCCCUGACGCGCCUGCUACUGCUACUACUGCUGCUGCUGCUGCUACUGCUGCGACUGCCGAUGCUGCUGCUGCUAUUGAGCUCGUAAUAGCGGAAAAUACGAGGAUAAAGAGAGAGGCAGCCAGGCGAGAGGCAGACAGAGAGGCGGAGGUGCUGAGGAGAAGGUCCGAAGUUGCGGAAGAAGAGGCACGUAGACUAGAGGCAACCAGAAUCGCAAUGGAGGAGGUGACGAAAGCCCACCAAGACGCAGGAGCCAGAGCAGAAUUUGCCAAGAGGGAAAAGGAAGAAGUAGAUAUGAGGAGGGUAGAGGAAGCGAAGAGGAAAAGGGAAGACGAGGCAGAGAGGAAGAGGCUGGUAGAAGCAGAGAGGAAAAGGGUGGAGGAAACAGUGCGAAGGAGGAGGAUGGAGGAAACAGAGGAGAGGAGGAGGGUGGAUGAGGCAGUGGAGAGGAGGAGGGAGAAAGAAGCAGAGAGAAGGGUGCUGGAAGCAGUAGGAAGACAAGCGGGAAGAGUAGAGGAGAGGAGAUGAAGGCGAGGCGGUGGUACAACCGCAACCGGUGAGACCCGCGGUCCCAAAUGUGGAGGCCCUGGCUGACCAAGCGAGGCAUCCCCUUCCUGCGGAAUUCAUUGAUGCCUCCCCCCCCCAUAUGCACGUUGGCUGGGAAGGAAGAUGAUUUCGCUGGAACAGCAAUUGCAAGUCAAUCGGGCAUUGAUCAGACGGCAAAAUCAGGAGCUCUUCCGUCGUACUGAAGAUCUACCGGAGGGUUUGCCGUUCACGAUGUGACAUUCGACCAUCUCGUUGGAUUUUUCUGCCAUCUAGGACAACCCAAUGCAGCGGAAUGUGCAAGAGUUUAUUUCCACGCUGCUUUUCACAUCCAAGAGGAAGUCUCGCUCCAUGUCACCUGGAAAGGGGUCCGUUGAGGGGUACCUCAACGGAACAAACUCUCCUUCAAGAACAGCCGUUUUACGAGGGCUUGUCGAGAUGCUAUGCACAUGAAUCAGUGAUUCGAAGGGCCCUCGGAGGAUGAAUUCAUCGACGUGAUGACGAAAGCUUUUAAGGCCCUGGAAAAUCGUCGGCGUCGGAGAGAUCUGCAUCCCCUGGACGAUCCAGAUGACUAACCUCCACCGCCUCAACGACGUCGUGUCGACCCCGGGGAGAUAGCUGAACCUGAUGAGGAUAACUUCCUUUGUUCUCUUUGAUGAUGACAUCCGGGUGGUCGAUAAAGAGGGCUGAGGGCUUUAGCUUCGGGGGAAACCUGCGAGGAUGGAUCUUUUUUGGAGUUUAUUUUUCGGGGGUCCUAUCGGGUUUCAUUAUGUUCGGAAUUUAUCAUCGAAUAUGUCGACGGUUCCUACUGAAACGAGAGUAUUCGGGUUUAUCUUGUCAUACAAAGGUAUCUUGUUUAUAAAUUGACCCUUGUAAUCACUUCACUAGUCUUCCCUGCCUGAUCGUUGUCAUUAAUCCACUAGUCUCUCGGGUUUGAUUGUUGUGACCUCUCCUGGGGUCCCUUGACUUCACCUCACUCGUUCCUCCUGUUCGACCCGGGCGAUCGCUCCACUGGCCUCCCCUAUUUGACCCUUGUAAUCACUCAACUCAUCUUCACUUGUAAUCGCUCUACUUGUCGCUCUCGUUUCACCCUUGUGUUAUCUUCACUCGUCCCACAUUUACCAUCGAUAGAGAAUGCCAGAGGGCAUAAGCCUCUUAACAAAUUAUAUAUUUACAUUUUGCUAGCUAAAUCAGUUGAAACAAUUUAAUCAGUGUUAAUGAAAUAGGCCUUUUCUUAUUUCGCGUGAGUUACCUGAAUUUCAUUCGGAAAUUAUAAGAUACGGUUGUAUUAAAACAAAAAUCCAAAGACCCUUGUUUUAUCAGGAACCGUCGAUAUAGGGUGAGAAGAUACCAUUGGUUAUGUCUUGCAGGAGGAGGGUUGGGGCCUUUUCCAAUUAGAUUAAUCCUUUCCUCGUUAUUCAUCUAUUGUUUGUGGAGGAGGCGUUUCAUCUGCGUUGGGCUUCACAGAAAGCAGCGGGGAGGGGCUGUUCAGGUCAAGUCUUCUUUCUGUUACAGGUCCAGUACCCCCGGGGGAAUUCUUGUGCAAUAAACGGAAAAAAAAAAUUUAUGUAAUUUGUAGACAUUUUACGCGCAUUUUACGCAUUCCU